GUCUACGGCCAUGCUACCCUGGACAAGCCUGAAGUCUGAUUUCAGAAGCUAAGCAGGGUCAGGCCUGGUUAGUACUUGGAUGGGAGACCACCUAGGAAGACCAGGUGCUGUAGGCA
rnacentral:rRNA from 1 species